rnacentral:pre_miRNA from 1 species
AGUGUAAUUGCCAGGUCACAUGGUAAGUUCAUUUUUAGUUUUAAAAGAAACUGCCAAACUGUUUUCCAGAAGGGCUGUACCAUUUUACAUUCCCACCAGCAAU